GACGAACGCUGGCGGCGUGCUUAACACAUGCAAGUCGAACGAAGAGCGAUGGAAGCUUGCUUCUAUCAAUCUUAGUGGCGAACGGGUGAGUAACGCGUAAUCAACCUGCCCUUCAGAGGGGGACAACAGUUGGAAACGACUGCUAAUACCGCAUACGAUCCAAUCUCGGCAUCGGGACUGGAUGAAAGGUGGCCUCUAUUUAUAAGCUAUCACUGAAGGAGGGGAUUGCGUCUGAUUAGCUAGUUGGAGGGGUAACGGCCCACCAAGGCGAUGAUCAGUAGCCGGUCUGAGAGGAUGAACGGCCACAUUGGGACUGAGGCACGGCCCAGACUCCUACGGGAGGCAGCAGUGGGGAAUCUUCCGCAAUGGACGAAAGUCUGACGGAGCAACGCCGCGUGAGUGAUGACGGCCUUCGGGUUGUAAAGCUCUGUUAAUCGGGACGAAUGGUUCUUGUGCGAAUAGUGCGAGGAUUUGACGGUACCGGAAUAGAAAGCCACGGCUAACUACGUG
rnacentral:rRNA from 1 species